rnacentral:snRNA from 1 species
AUACUCUGGUUUCUCUUCAAAUCGUACAAAUCUUUCGCCUUUUACUAAAGAUUUCCGUGGAGAGAAACAUAUUGGGAGUCUUAGAAUAAAUUUUUUGAGGCCUUGUGUUUUGCGAGGCU